rnacentral:tRNA from 1 species
GCCGAAGUGGCGGAAUGGCAUACGCGUCGGUUUCAAAAACCGAUUCCCGCAAGGGAGUGGGGGUUCGAGUCCCCCCUUCGGCA